rnacentral:rRNA from 1 species
GAUGAACGCUAGCGGCAGGCUUAACACAUGCAAGUCGAGGGGUAUAGUUCUUCGGAACUAGAGACCGGCGCACGGGUGCGUAACGCGUAUGCAAUCUACCUUUUACAGGGGGAUAGCCCAGAGAAAUUUGGAUUAAUACCCCAUAGUAUGUUAGAGUGGCAUCAUUUUAACAUUAAAGUUCCAACGGUAAAAGAUUAGCAUGCGUCCCAUUAGCUAGAUGGUAAGGUAACGGCUUACCAUGGCGACGAUGGGUAGGGGUCCGGAGAGGGAGAUCCCCCACACUGGUACUGAGACACGGACCAGACUCCUACGGGAGGCAGCAGUGAGGAAUAUUGGACAAUGGGCGCAAGCCUGAUCCAGCCAUGCCGCGUGCAGGAAGACGGUCCUAUGGAUUGUAAACUGCUUUUGUACAGGAAGAAACACUCCCUCGUGAGGGAGCUUGACGGUACUGUAAGAAUAAGGAUCGGCUAACUCCGUGCCAGCAGCCGCAGUAACAC